AGCAGCCGCGGUAAUUCCAGCUCCAAUAGCGUAUAUUAAAGUUGUUGCAGUUAAAAAGCUCGUAGUUGAACUUCAGGCCUGUCCAGACGGUCCGCCUUAAUUGGUGUGUACUGUCCUUGGGUGGGUCCUACCUUCUGGCGAAGCGGCAUGGCCUUAAUUGGUUGUGUCGGGGAACCAGGACUUUUACUGUGAAAAAAUUAGAGUGUUCAAAGCAGGCAAAUAUGCUCGAAUACAUUAGCAUGGAAUAAUGGAAUAGGACGAUGGUUCUAUUUUGUUGGUUCUAGGACCGUUGUAAUGAUUAAUAGGGAUAGUUGGGGGCAUUAGUAUUCAAUUGUCAGAGGUGAAAUUCUUGGAUUUAUUGAAGACUAACUACUGCGAAAGCAUUUGCCAAGGAUGUUUUCAUUAAUCAAGAACGAAAGUUAGGGGAUCGAAGACGAUCAGAUACCGUCGUAGUCUUAACCAUAAACUAUGCCGACUAGGAAUCGGGCGAUGUUGACAAAAUGACUCGCUCGGCACCUCAUG
rnacentral:ncRNA from 2 species